rnacentral:lncRNA from 1 species
UUUCUUCCAUAAACGAAACUCAAAAACAUUUCUUCCAUUAAUGAGUUUUGAAACUUCAUCCUCUCUUCUCCAAAUUGAACGAGGCAUGAAAAGCAUGGAUUCAACUUAGCAAUAUUAGUUAUUGAUGUGUCAGAUAAAAUGUUCUUAUUUAACGAGUAUAUUUAUUUAUUUUGUUAUUGUUAUUGUUGUUCUUGUUGUUGUCGUCAUUGUUGUUG